rnacentral:rRNA from 3 species
UACGAAGGGGGCUAGCGUUGCUCGGAAUUACUGGGCGUAAAGGGCGCGUAGGCGGCCGAUCAAGUCAGGCGUGAAAUUCCCGGGCUCAACCUGGGGGCUGCGCUUGAGACUGGUUGGCUAGAGGCCGAGAGAGGGUGGUGGAAUUCCCAGUGUAGAGGUGAAAUUCGUAGAUAUUGGGAAGAACACCGGUGGCGAAGGCGGCCACCUGGCUCGGUACUGACGCUGAGGCGCGACAGCGUGGGGAGCAAACAGG